AAUUCGGCAAUUUCCGCAGCAUACCUUCAUCAAUUGUUGAAUCUUUGAGUAAUACUGGUUGUAUGUGUGCCAUUCUUUUACUUGCUUCUACAAAAGUUUCUUCAU